AUCAAACUUUCUUUUAUAGACCGAGCCAUGAUCGACAAAUGAAUCGUGAUAAGAAUAUAAAUAUAUAGCGUUAUUGUAAUAUCCGUUUUCCAAGAACUCUCUGAGCUUAUCAGUCACGUGUUGGAAGAGAUCUAGACCUGACUUCUUGUCGAAAAGCAGCUUAUUCAAGAUUUCUUUACGUUUUCUAGCACUAAGUAUGAAAAUGCUGUUUUGUUGCACACUGUAACCACCAGAGUCUACGGGAAGCAUGCAGGUUUUUUUUCCAGAUUCCCAAAGGAUUUGGCGAAACGAUGGGAAAAGCUGAGCAGGAGACAAGAUAGGAAGGUAACCAUGACUGACAGAAUAUGCAGUUGCCACUUCGAAGAUGAAAAAAAUGGAACAAUACACUUUCCUGGGAGAAAGGAGCGUUAUUUUGAUUUUGGGACCCAAAUGCUACUUCUAGACAAAGUCCAAAUGAAAGAUAAACCGAGAAAAAAGACACCGCUGUAUGAUUCAGGUGAGUUAUACUACAGAACAAUCAUCGAUGGCACCAUGUGAGAGACCUGACGAUGACCAUACUUACUCGCAACAAGUCAUGCGACUUUCAUAACAAAAACGAAAGAAUUGCAAGACGAAAGAAAGAAGUUGAAUUCUGACAUAACUGCUCUAGCCAGGGAAACAACCAGACCAUCAAUGUUGAGAAAAAGCAUUCAGAGGCUUUCCCUCAACAUGUAUCAACAACUGGACACCAGGUACCAUCUCAAGAACAGACCAGUAAUAACUAAUGAAACUGAAGCUGAACUUGUCCCCAUUUAAAGCCAGACCGCUUAACACUAUAGUCGAUAACAAUGGCUGAUCUGCAUAUAAUGACUGCUAGUUAUUGGCUGGCAUGCAGUGAAAGGGAGCUAAAAAGGAGUAAAAAGUUCAUUUCAGCCAGGUAAUGUGGCUGGAAUAAACCAGUGUUAAGGAAUGUCCAGUAAUGGCAUGACGUCAUGAGAGUUUGGCAUACAGACAUUCACAUGAUUAAUGAUGAAACUGAAAACCUCAAGUGAAAGGCAUAGGAAGUUAUCCAAUUCCCAUAUACCUGAAAAAAGGAGGGGUGCCAAAAUAUUGAUAAUAAGAUUUUUGUCAAUUUGAGAAGCAAAGAUGUAAAAAAAAAAAAAAAAAAAAAAAAAAAAAAAAAAAUGCAGAAAUUAUAAUUCAUGUAUUUGUUUAAAAUAUUGUUCACUGCACAUUCAUGUAUAUUUUUUAACUUAUUUGGAAAUACAUGAAGUAAUUCAUAUUAAAAUUGUGAAUGUAUGAUUUUUAUCAAUAAAGCUUACCAUAUAUUUUAUUG